rnacentral:rRNA from 1 species
AUUGAACGCUGGCGGCAGGCCUAACACAUGCAAGUCGAGCGAGCGGCGGACGGGUGAGUAAUGUCUGGGAAACUGCCUUAUGGAGGGGGAUAACUACUGGACACGGUAGCUAAUACCGCAUACCAUCAGAUGUGCCCAGAUGGGAUUAGCUAGUAGGUGGGGUAACGGCUCACCUAGGCGACGAUCCCUCGCUGGUCUGAGAGGAUGACCCGCCACACUGGAACUGAGACACGGUCCAGACUCCUACGGGAGGCAGAAGUGGGGAAUAUUGCACAAGGGGCGAAAGCCUGAUGCAGCCAUGCGGCGUGUGUGAAGAAGGCCUUCGGGUUGUAAAGCACUUUCAGCGGGGAGGCGUUACCAGAAGAAGAAGCACCGGCUAACUCCGUGCCAGCAGCCGCGGUAAUAC